CCUAAGAAUGUCAAGUCACAGGCCCCAGUGGAUCCCAGAGCUGGACCGCAACACAGCCAGAGCCCUGGAGCCAGGGGAAGCCCCUUGGGAAGCCCCCGCCCCGCUGCUAGAGGUGACUCCUGAUUCUGCUUCAAGAGCUCCGUCCAGUGAGAGAGCCAGAGCCACUCGUGAGGCUCAACACGGGGCUGUCCUGUGCCUGUGGCCCACAGCAGAAAUGGGUAAGGAAGGCACCGAGUGCCCACACCACAACAGCGGCUCGCUAGGCCAGCCUGCAGGCCAGAGGUGGGGUGGCCGCCACUUCACAGAGUAGAAGAGACAGGAAGAGGGCAGGAGGGCGGGCCUCUCCCCUCCAGACCACAGCAGAUCCUUCCUCCAGAGAGCUCCUGCAGCAGGGUCCCGGCCACCAGCACCGACGUCUGCAGUGUUUUCUGAGUGUCCCCCUGGUUUGCUGUCCGAUUGCUCUUUCCGCGGGACCUGGGGAAAAUGCCCGAGUCCUGCUGCCCUGCCCCACCCUUCCUGGACUCCUAUUUGACCUAGAAAAGCCCAAGGUGGGCACGGUCAAAAGACUCCCUGCUUGCAGAGGGCUCAGGGCUGGGCUGGCCUAGAACCUUCCGAGGCACCAGAGAGCAGGAGGCUGCCAGGCCCAGAGCAGCCGUGGCAUCCUCGCAACCCAGCAAGACAGGAGCAACUUAGACUGUCAGCACCAUGUGACUCGAGGUGGCGUUGCAGGAGGCCGUGGGCUGCGUAAAAGCAACUGGACUCGGGACCCUCAGAUAGAAGCCCCCGCCAUUAGUGGGGCUGGCAGAAAUCGCCCCAAACACUCCCAGCUUCCAGACCCAGGCCCAUUGGAGGCCUGAUUAAAUGAAGGCCCUUGAUGGGGGAGGUUUCCUAGACUCCCAGGUGUGCCCACUCUAGUUCCAAACGUGCUCAAGCACAGGAAAGGGGGACAGAAGUGUCUCACUCAAGAAUGCAGCUUGGUGAGAAGGACGGACAAGCUUUCUCAGGAUCUGAAGAUGCAGGGAGGAACCAAGGAGCACAGACAGCCCAGAAGCAAGAAGAGGCACAGAGACACUGUCCCUGGAGCCUCCAGGACAGAAGGGCACAGUCCUGCCAGCUGGGCCCAACAGGCUUCUGAUCUCCAAAAGGGUAAGAAAUAAAUCAGCGUUGUUUUCAUGCACCCAGUUGGUGGUGAUUUGUUACAGCAGCAGCUGGAAACUAAUACACCCUGUCUCCUGCCCAGGACACCAAAAAGAAAGAUCUCGAAUUCUCUUGGAAAUAUGCAAAACCAGUACUGCAAAAAAUAUGUCCUUUUAUGCAUCAUAUCCUGUUCUUCUACACAGCAUAUCUGUAAUAUUAAAAACAUAAAACUGUAAGUCUGAACAUAUCAUCCUUAAUGAAGACAAAUAAUGAAAGUGUGUUCACAGAUUCAAAAGCUGUUGAAACAAACAGAAACCCACCCUUUCAUGUAAGGAUUUGCUGACUUUGUUCACUUUUUAAACCCGGUUUUAUUGACAUAU